UGCAUACAAUGUGAUACUCAACCGCCUAGUUCUAAACUGCUACGAUAUAGUUAUUAAUAUGGGUGCUAUGUGUCUUAAGUUACUAACUCUAAGUAUCCCAUAGUCCGAAGCAACCCGAGGUUAGUCAAAAAAGGUUGCGGAAGCCCCACAAAAAGCCUCGGGAAAGUGAAAAUAUCCAUCAACUUGCUAGAGAAACUAGAAUCUCACAUAAAUUAAAUCCAGCUGACCCAGUAGAAGAGAUGCAUCUAAGUAAGGAUAAAAAGGUACAGUUCGAUAUUGCAUUAACUUGUUAAACAAAGAACCGUUUAAUAGAAUUACUAAAAUGUCGAGUGACUAUUUUUGGUUAGUCUCCAAAAGAUGUAACAGGAGUGAACUCGACUCUCAUUACUCAUAAGUUGUCUAUUGACAAAGCCAUCAAACUAGUCCAACAAAAGAAAAGAAAGUUCGCACCGGAGAGGCAACAAGUGAUCAAAGAAGAGGUUAACAAGCUGUUAAGUGCAAUGUUAAUAAAGGAGGUUUAGUAUCUCACAUGGCUCAGCAAUGUGGUUUUGGCGAAGAAGGCCAAUAGGAAAUAGAAAAUGUGCAUGGAUUUUACUGACCUGAAUAAUGUAUGUCCAAAAGAUCAUUGUCCAUUAUUAUCUAUGGACAUGUUAGUAGACUUAACCACAAGUCACGCAGUGAUUUUCUUUGUUGAUGCCAUUUCAGGUUACCACUAAAUCAUGAGGACAUUGAGAAUAGAGAGAAGAUCGCAUUCAUUACAGAUGAAUGAGUUUUCUGCUACAAGGUGAUCGCAUCCGGACUAAAAAAUGCGGAGGCGACUUAUCAAAGGCUGGUAUCAGGCAUCUUUAAAGACAUAAUUGAGUCAAUAAUCAAAGUGUACGUAGAUAACAUAGUGGUGAAGAGCCGAUUCUUGAAAGACCAUACAGAUGAUAUCCAAAAAUUCAUUGACGUACUAGACAAGGCAGGUAUGAAACUAAACCCUAAAAAGUGCACCUUUAGGGUGAGAGCAUGGAAGCUUUUGGGAUAUAUAGUUUCAAAAAGAGGUAUAAAAGCGAACCUUGAAAAGAUUGGUGCCAUCCAAAAUAUGAAAGUGCCUAAAACCAUUAAUGAAGUACAAAAGUUAAAUGGGCGAGUCACAAUCUUGGGUCGGUUUAUAUCAUGAUCAGCCAAAAGCUAUCUCCCAUUUUUUAAAGCUUUUAAAGACAAAGAUAAAUUUGUGUGAGGGAAAGAAUGAGCAGAGACAUUUGAAAGUUUGAAAACCUUUUUAUCAUCUCCUCCAUUGUUAAGCUCGCUUAUUGAAGGUGAGGUUUUAUUUCUAUACUUGAUCAGUCUAAAUUUAGACCAUUUUAUCAUGUUGUUAUUAAUGUUAAUUUAUAUUUUUUCUGCCUAAUUUUGUGAUUUUGAUUUUAUUUUGCAGAAAAUAGUGUAAAAGGUAAUUUGGAGAAAAUACUCUUAAAAUUGCGUAAAAAGGAACAAAGGAAAAUAAGCUUAUUGUCCAAGUCAACUUGCAGCUGAAGUGAAGAUAAAUAAUGAAAGAGCCAAAUAAGGAAAGUGCAGUAGUGAAGAUAAAUAAGAAAAGCGCAGUCAGCAGAAUAAUUUGAAAUUCAAAUUUCAAAUCUUCCUUCCUUUAUUUAAAAUGUGAAGACACCUCAGCAUUUAGUUCUGCCUAUUCAGGAAGCCAAAUCUCAAGAAGAUGCACUUGCCUCUCAAGCAUUCAAAAUUUGAAAUUCAAAAUUCAAAAGGAGGCUUCACCUGACAAGCAAACUUAGAGCAACACUCUUCUCCUCUUACUUUGGGAUCAAGCAAGCUGCACGCCUAUAUAAGAGCAUCAACAAGCAUCGGCCACACUUUUUUCGCAUCUCAGAUUCGGCGCAGGCUUCCCUUCUCCUCCAAGUCAAGCCAUUCGGCCAUCUCUUCUUCUCCUCUUUCUUUUUAUUUUUGGUUUUGUUUCAGUCAUGAGUGGCUGAAACCCUUUUUUCUAGUUGAAGAUUGAUUGAUACUUUAGUUGUUUUAUGGAUUGGAGAUCUGAACACACAUUGUUUAACUUUUGUUUUUCAAUAUUCAUGCAAUCUCAUGCUUAAUUUCAUUGUUGCUUUGUUAUUUUGAUCAAUAUGGCCAAUUGAUUCUUGAUUGCAAAGUAAUAAAUUAUUAGUUUGGAUAGUUUUAAGUCCGUAAUUGCUUGGAUUGUUCAAACAUAAGUAACUUUUGGUGUAAAAACUAAGGAGAUUGUAUGAUCUAGCAAUAUCACUAUGCGUUUGGGUAGUUAGAAUUAGGUCUCUCUAUUUCUUAAUGCAAUUGACAGUUGUUAGAUGACUAAGGCCCAAAGACGUUCAUUGAUAACUUGUUAAUUAGUGAUUGGUUAGAGGACGUUCCCUAAUUAAUUUAUGCUCAAGGAGAGAUAUGGUGGUGAGAAACGUCUUCCAUCUCCAUAACUAAUUUAUUGAAUCAAAUAAAAGAAUCUAAGUAUCAAUGAUCGAUUCCAACAACUGAAGUGGAUCCAAUUCUUCAACUAAAGCUUUUCUCAUAUUUGAAUUCCUUUACUUUAAUUAUUUGCUUUAUUUUAUUGCUUUCAGUAUUAGUUUAAUUGAAUCAAUCUCAAAACCCUCCUUUUUAAUUUGCUUUCAAUUUAAUUUAUUUAUUGUUCAUUUACUUUUAGUUUAUUUUCUUGGUCUUGAUAAGGAAGAUAGGUAAGUAUCGAUUCCCUGUGGAUUCGAUCCUUUCACCACUAUCUGCAGUUGUAAAAUUGUUGAUAACUGAAAAUGUUAUUUUUGACCGGCUUCGACAACCGCACAGUUAAUACUUAUUUGUGAUGCAGGAAACAGUUUGCUCGGUACUCGUUCGUGAGAAUAAUGGGGAGCAAAGUUCAGUCUAUUAUGCCAGUUAGGUCUUGAAGGGGGCAGACUUAAACUAUCCUCCUUGAAAAGUUAGCGUUUUUAGUUCUGAUGUCAGCCACAAAGCUAUGACCAUACUUCGAGUCACACACCAUUAGGACAAAUUAUCCUCUGUGAAAGGGUCUACAUAAGUCAGAGCAUUACAGAUGAAUGAGUUUUCUUCUACAAAGUGAUGCCAUCCGGACUAAAAAAUGCGGAGGCGACUUACCAAAGGCUGGUAUCAAGCAUCUUUAAAGACAUAAUUGGGUUAACAAUCAAAGUGUAUGUGGAUGAAAUAAUGGUGAAGAGUUGAUUCUUGGAAGACCGUACAGGUGAUAUCCAGAAAUUCAUUGACGUACUAGACAAGACAAAUAUGAAAUUAAACCUAAAAAGUGCACCUUUAGGGUGAGAGCAUGGAAGUUUUUGGGAUAUAUAGUUUUAGAAAGAAGUAUAAAAGCAAACCCUGAAAAGAUUGGUGCCAUCCAAAAUAUGAAAGUGUCCAAGACCAUUAAUGAAGUAUAGAAGUUGAAUGGGCAAGUCACAACCUUGGGUCGGUUUAUAUCAUGCUCAGUCAGAAGGUAUCUCUCAUUUUUUAAAGCUUUCAAAGACAAAUAUAAGUUUGUGUGAGGGAAAGAGUGUGCAGGGGUAUUUGAAAGUUUGAAAAAAAUUUUAUCAUCUCCUUCAUUGCUAAGCUCGCCUGUUAAGGUGAGAUUUUAUUUAUAUACUUAUCUGUGAC
rnacentral:lncRNA from 1 species